UUUUAACAAAGAACAUGUGACAUUUAUAUUGGAAAAUUUUUUAAAUUUAACAUCCAAUGAAAUAAACAUGGUUAUUGAUUUCGAAAAGAAUCUCAGUCAUUUUAUGAAAAUCGAUGACACAAUGGGUGAUGAAAGGAUUCUCAACAUAGCCGAUUUAAAUCAAGAAUUUCCUUUCAUUUCAGUAUAUCUACCGGAUAUAUUUGCAACUUACGGCCUUUCAAACAAUUCUGAUACCGUAGUUCAUUUUAU